rnacentral:rRNA from 1 species
GACGAACCGUGCGAACGUUAUUCGGAAUCACUGGGCUUAAAGGGCGCGUAGGCGGGCAGGCAAGUCGAAGGUGAAAUCCCACGGCUCAACCGUGGAAGUGCCCCCGAUACUGCCUGUCUGGAGGGAGAUAGGGGCGUGCGGAACUUCCGGUGGAGCGGUGAAAUGCGUAGAUAUCGGAAGGAACACCGGUGGCGAAAGCGGCGCGCUGGAUCUCUUCUGACGCUGAGGCGCGAAAGCCAGGGAGCGGAACGGG